CAGUUUCUAUAUCUUUCAAACUAAUAUAUUCGCGACAAUUUUUCAGUGAUAGAUAAAAACGGGAUUGUUGCACGAGAGCUUCGGUGAGAAUGUAACUUUGCUCUCUUGAUUAUAUGUAGAGAAAUACUACGUGACUCAUCAUCUUAAUUAAUUACUAUCGUCAUCAUGCAAGAUUGGGAGCACGCAAAUACAAAAGAAUAAAGAUAUUCGAAUUGCUGCAUGGUGCAUCGGAAGGGUCUAUUGUACCCUUCCUCGGGAAAAUUGAUCUACAUUGUUCGACUACCCGGAAAAAAGGGAAGACCGAAAAAAUUCAUAUAUGGCAAGAUAAUUGAAACCUCAUAACUGUGAUCAAGUCCGAAUAUGGAAUGCGUAGUUAAAGUUAGAGAUUAUAAAAAUUAAAAGUUAUAAAUUGGCACUAAAUAUCUCUGUGACUGACAUAGGUUUUCUAAUAUAGUGUUUUUUAAUUUCGUCAUUCCAAUACAAUUUAAUAUUGUUAAUUGAGACUUAUUUCUUUCCUUUUGAAAUAGUGAUGUCAACAUGUCUUAAAAACCUAUGAUUAAAAUCAAUUAUAUUACACUAUUAUUAUUAAAUUGUACUGAAAUUUCUGUUAACAGUUACAAUAAAUGAUUUCUUACCCA